CUUCGUCCUCCGCGCCCACCUCCUCCAUGUCGUUCUCGAGGUCCUAGAGUACUUUUUUGUACUCUCGGACCUCGCACUGAGCUUCUGAGCUCUCAGACUCGAACGUUGCCGAGAACUCUCACGGUUUCGGCGAUUCCGGCUUCGGAUGUUCCGGGAGGUCCUUUAGCUCCACAACUUCUUUUAUCGUCGCCCUCGCAAGCGUCUAGAAGGAACACCGCACAGGCUACGACGGCGCAAGAUGGCCCGGCUCCUCCCCUCGAGCUGCCUC
rnacentral:rRNA from 1 species